AGCGAACGCUGGCGGCAGGCCUAACACAUGCAAGUCGAACGAACCUUUCGGGGUUAGUGGCGGACGGGUGAGUACCACGUGGGAACGUGCCUUUAGGUUCGGAAUAACUCAGGGAAACUUGUGCUAAUACCGAAUGUGCCCUUCGGGGGAAAGAUUUAUCGCCUUUAGAGCGGCCCGCGUCUGAUUAGCUAGUUGGUUGAGGUAAUGGCUCACCACGGCGUCGAUCAGUAGCUGGUCUGAGCGGAUGAUCAGCCACAUUGGGACUGAGACACGGCCCAAACUCCUACGGGAGGCAGCAGUGGAGAAUCUUGCGCAAUGGGCGAAAGCCUGACGCAGCCGUGCCGCGUGAAUGAUGAAGGUCUUAGGAUUGUAAAAUUCUUUCACCGGGGACGAUAAUGACGGUACCCGGAGAAGAAGCCCCGGCUAACUUCGUG
rnacentral:rRNA from 1 species